UUCAUCUGCCUCAGUUGAGCUGUAACAGCUUGACACCAGCACACAUUAUGGUUCCCACCAGUGUCUUACUGUUGCUGACAGCUGCAUCCUAUGUUCAGUCGGAUGUUGAGCUCACUCAGCCCAGCUCCAUAGUAAUUAAGCCUGGAGACCCUCUCACCAUCCCCUGUAAGGUGUCUGGAUAUUCUCUUACUGAAUGCUGUAGCUAUGCGACGGCAUGGGUUCGACAGCCUGCAGGGAAAACACUGGAGUGGAUAACAGACAUAUGGGAGAAUGGAGAUAUUUACAAGGCAGAUUCCCUGAAGAGCAAGUUCAGCAUCUCUAAAGAUCCCUCCAGCAGCACAGUGACUCUGAGAGGGCAGAACCUGCAGACUGAAGACUCAGCUGUCUAUUACUGUGCCAGGCGACCACUGUGAUACCAACCAGUAGAGGACCUGUGCAAAAACUUUACUGACACAAUAUAAACAAUAUAAAUUCUUGAGUAGAAUUAAUUAACCAUGUUUAAGCACAGUGUAGACAAUUACUCAGCAUAUUACAUUUCC